GACAGAGGGUGCAAACGUUGUUCGGAAUACUGGGCGUAAAGCGUGUGUAGGCGGUCUCGAAAGUCGGAUGUGAAAGCCCUGGGCUCAACCCAGGAAGUGCACCCGAAACUGUGAGGCUAGAGUAUCGGAGAGGUUGGUGGAAUUCUCGGUGUAGAGGCGAAAUUCGUAGAUAUCGAGAGGAACACCGGUGGCGAAGGCGGCCAACUGGACGAAUACUGACGCUGAGACACGAAAGCGCGGGGAGCAAACAGG
rnacentral:rRNA from 1 species